GUCAAGGUAUUUGGUGAUGCCUUGUCCAAUGGAAAGAUAUAAGAUAGCGAUUUUCAAAAUGUAUGCAGCAUUCAUAACAGGUGAACUAAUCUCACAGAAAUUAAGUUUAUUCAGUGCAU